GUUGCUUCUCAUACAGUGUAAGUUUCAACUCAAUGCAAGAGCAGAUAAAAGAGCCACCUGAACAUUCAAUAACAUAAGAAGAACCAUAGUCGCUGCAAGUAGGAGAAGUAAAGAAAAGGAGUUUAGGCUCGUUCUACUACACAUACAACCCAUCUAAAAAGUUUCAGCUUCUUUAAGAUUCCAAAACGUUUAACUCACCGCACUGUCCAAUACCCAUGACCCAUCAAGAGUUUCCAAGCAGAAGGGUGACGAUCAAAGCCCCAUCUGUCACUGCAGUACUUGAACAGCUUCCAAAGAGCUAAGCUUGCUAACAAUCCCACCAAUGCAAGUGGCAUCUGAUACGUUCAAGAACAUUAUUUUGUUUUUACACUAGAGGUCUAGAACUUCUUCAAAAUAUCUUAUUGACCAACUAAGAUUUGUUCAUCUAGAAAUAAUUUAUUUAUUUAUCUAAAAUUAUCACAUCAACCUAUUAUUUCUUAAUGACUGAAAACAUGGAUACAAAAAAAAAAAAAAAUCGGACAUAUGCCUAAGUAAUAAAGUGUCAUUAAAAUAAAUAAAUAAAGUGUCAUUUUUCACAUUCAAAGCUUCUCCAAAAAUAAAUACACAUUGUAUAAAGACGUGCUAGGUAAUAACCCGCGCCUUGCGUGUAAUGCGAUUAUUAAUUUCGUUAAUUUUUUAAUAAGGAGACGUUAAUCUGUUUAAUCUGGAUAUCGGUUCGGUUUUAGGUUAUUUUUUUUGUUUUUAAUCUCCUAAAAUAUAACUAUCAUUUUAAAUUAAUAUUUAUUUGGUUUGUUCAGUUAAAAUGUUUGAUGUUUUUGUUUUUUUUUCUUUGAUAAUCAAUUUUUUGUUUUGUUUUCAUGUUAUGAAUCUUAGAUAGUCGUGAUGUCGAACCAAUGGUUUCAUAUUAUAGUUUUUAAACGGAUAAUAGUUAAAAAAAAAAGAAAAGAAAAUUACGAAGACAAAUUAUUUUACUACAAUUUGGUCGAUAGUGAAAGAAGUAUUAACAAAAAUAAUAUUUUAACUUCCAAACAAUUAGAUAUUUCAGUGGUGGUAAAUACUUAGUUAUAAAGUGC
rnacentral:lncRNA from 1 species